GGAUAGGUGGGAGGCUUUGAAGUGUGGACGCCAGUCUGCAUGGAGCCGACCUUGAAAUACCACCCUUUAAUGUUUGAUGUUCUAACGUGGACCCGUGAUCCGGGUUGCGGACAGUGUCUGGUGGGUAGUUUGACUGGGGCGGUCUCCUCCUAAAGAGUAACGGAGGAGCACGAAGGUUGGCUAAUCCUGGUCGGACAUCAGGAGGUUAGUGCAAUGGCAUAAGCCAGCUUGACUGCGAGCGUGACGGCGCGAGCAGGUGCGAAAGCAGGUCAUAGUGAUCCGGUGGUUCUGAAUGGAAGGGCCAUCGCUCAACGGAUAAAAGGUACUCCGGGGAUAACAGGCUGAUACCGCCCAAGAGUUCAUAUCGACGGCGGUGUUUGGCACCUCGAUGUCGGCUCAUCACAUCCUGGGGCUGAAGUAGGUCCCAAGGGUAUGGCUGUUCGCCAUUUAAAGUGGUACGCGAGCUGGGUUUAGAACGUCGUGAGACAGUUCGGUCCCUAUCUGCCGUGGGCGCUGGAGAACUGAGGGGGGCUGCUCCUAGUACGAGAGGACCGGAGUGGACGCAUCACUGGUGUUCGGGUUGUCAUGCCAAUGGCACUGCCCGGUAGCUAAAUGCGGAAGAGAUAAGUGCUGAAAGCAUCUAAGCACGAAACUUGCCCCGA
rnacentral:rRNA from 1 species